rnacentral:lncRNA from 1 species
GGCACCAGGAGGUGCCGCCUUCCUCAUUCUUAACAGAAGUCUUAGUGAGCCCUGGAGUCUUGGAUGAAGAAACUGAGGUGGAGAGAGGUGGAAGGCCCGCCUGAGGUCCUGCACAAAGUCAGUGGCUGAGCCAUGUUUCUUUCCCACCUGUUUCAGGUUCUGGAAUUUCACCGUGAGGGUUUUUUUCCUUUGUGUGUGUUUUGCAGGAUUUGUCAUUGCUGCUGCUGUUACUGCAGUUGCUGUUGCCAGGACCAAACACCUCUGGCACAGCCUCAUUAGUCACUACCUAAGCUGCCCUGACAAGUGGAUAAAAGGAAAGAAGACCUCUUUUAGGCAUGGAGGGAAAGUGAGACUUUGGAGCUUUUGCCUAUUCCAGAGAAAAUCAAUAGCUAUCGCGGGGAUGUUGAAGCCACAGAGGGUUCCUUCCGUUUCCAUCGCAGCUAAUUACGAAAGGAACUCUGUGGAACAUGGUGGAGAUACUAAAGAGGAACAAAAAUGAAUGCUGCCAGAGAAGCCAAAUAAAGUCCAAAAUGUGUACA